GACCACAUGGUCUAGUGGAUAAGGCGUCUGACUUCGGAUUGGAAGACUAAGGAUUCGAAUCCCUUCGUGGUUG
rnacentral:tRNA from 1 species